rnacentral:lncRNA from 1 species
AGGUAUUUUUCCUGAGCUAAGCUGCCAUGUUGCAGGGGAUUCAAACCCCGCAAAUUUCGAGCACCACACCAAGGGAGGAAAUGCGCUUAUGCACACUCCCAGAGCCCUCGGGUGCAGCCGUGCUCUGGAAGUAGUGUGGGACUCCUCCGGCAUGAACCCGCCGGCCAUACCCACUAAAACCCCCCAGUGGUAAAGGGACGGCUAAGUCCCAGGGACGGUCUCGAACCCAGGGCUUUCUGCACUUCUGGACACUGGGUCUUUAUCGAGUUGCCCGAUGGUACCGCUACACCACC